rnacentral:miRNA from 1 species
GGUUUCUCUGUGUAGCCCUGGCUGUCGUGGAACUCGCUCUGUAGACCAGGUUGGCCUCAAACUCAGAGAUCCGCCUGCCUCUGCCUCCCGAGAGCUGGGGUUAAAGGCGUGCGCCACCAACGCCCG